GUGCCUGGGUGGUGGGAGGGACGAUACCAUGAGUGGGGGUUGGGGUGCUUAGUGGUCUGGUUAGUGCCAGCUUAGCUGUGGCAGUUAAUGAUGUUCGUCACUGUGGUCCUGGAGACGCUGCUGGAGACCUUCUGGGAAGCUGGACUCAGGGUUGCCAGACUGAUGGCAAGAAAACUGUGUCAGACAUAGUGCGUCUGGACUUCACUGAGGAAUGUGACAAGGCAUCUUAUGUCCUUGUGAACAAGAUGGACAAAUGUGGCUGGGUGACCGUGUAAUUAAGUGGAUUGAACCACUGUCCCCAAAGGGUGCUGAUUAAGGAAUAAAUGUCCACCUGGAGGGAAACUCCUAA